UAAGGGCCCCCAAACACUGAAUAUAAGGCAUGAGUGAAUGCUGUGUGUCUGUUUUUACGAAUAUUGUCACUACCUCACAAUAAAUUUAUCUCAUUUGUCAUUUUGUUUUUAAUUCUCCUAUUUUUAACCAUGUGGAGAGAAGCCUGAUGUUGGAAAAUGUUACUUUCUGGAUGUCUGAGAAAAGCAAAGCACUGGUGUGGUCCCGUGAAGUCCUAUGGCCUAGUGUCCUGAGUCCCCUGCCGCUUCUUGGGAGGAUUCUGUCUCCUGUCUGGAGAGAGCGGCCGCAGAUGAAAAGUCGGCCUGGGAUACAACUGCUGGAGGCUGCCUUUCAGAGAUACAUUCUGCAAACAUCCACUCUGGUUUCCUAAACAUUAAAUAGAGCUUUACAGUCAAUUCUCCUCUACGAAAGUUACACUUUUGAGUAUGUUUACCUACUUGUACAAAAUGGGGAAACUGAGACACCAUGUUAUAUUCAAUUAUACUACCAGGGAUUCCUU
rnacentral:lncRNA from 10 species